GCUCCGUGCCAGCAGCCGCGGUAAUACGGAGGGUGCGAGCGUUAAUCGGAAUUACUGGGCGUAAAGGGUGCGUAGGUGGUUUAUUAAGUUAUCUGUGAAAUCCCCGGGCUCAACCUGGGAAGGUCAGAUAAGACUGUUUGACUCGAGUAUGGGAGAGGGUAGUGGAAUUUCCGGUGUAGCGGUGAAAUGCGUAGAGAUCGGAAGGAACACCAGUGGCGAAGGCGGCUACCUGGCCUGAUACUGACACUGAAGCACGAAAGCGUGGGGAGCAAACAGGAUUAAAUA
rnacentral:rRNA from 1 species